UGCCUUACUUGUUCAAUUUUUUAAUUCGCAAAUCUUACAAAGUCAUAAUUAAGGAUUGUAUAUCAAUUUGGUAAAACAAUAAAGAGGAUGAUUAAUUUAUAAUUGACAACCAGAUUCAUUAGUUAAAUGACUUUUCCUAGCACCACAGAAACACAUCGUGUUUACUCUAUAACAGAGACAAAAAUGUAUGUAUGGAAAAAGAGUGAUGACUGUCAUCGGAAAUGAUUAAGUGACAAUGCGUAUAAGGUAAUAAUACAAGAAAUAGAAAUAAAGGGGAAAAAAGGAGCUUCUGCAGGAAAGUAAGAAAAUUAGUAAUGAAAUAAAAAAGACACUCGCAGCUGGUUGGCAGCCCCUUGAUUUUUUUUUCUAGCCAUGACUUUUAGCUGCUGCCCGAUUCUACAUCUUUAGAAGUGUUGCAAUCGGUUCCCUCAGCCAUUGUGUUGUCACUUGCUGGCUCUGUGGUAAUUGCUUGGCCUCGCAUAGACGACAUUUCAACGUCGCCAGUCUCUUCAUCUUGUUCUAUUACUUCGAGCCCGAGAAUAAACAACAGUAAGGAUAAAAUAAUAUGAGCCAAACCUUGAAUUGCUUUAGCUACAUAUUUAACUAGGCCUGCAAUCGUUUUAGCUACAUGUUUAGCUAGACCUUCAUUCGCUUUAGCUACAGAUGGUGCAUAAACAUAAGCUUCUUCAAACGCUAAUUUAAUUAACGAAAAUGAAACUAGAAAAUCGUUAGCCAUGAAUUCAAAUCAUCUCAAAAACUUACAAUAAACAA